rnacentral:rRNA from 1 species
AGGUAGCAUAAUUAUUAGUCUUUUAAUUGAAGGCUUGAAUGAACGAUUGGAUGAAAUAUAAACUUUAUUAAUUAAAAUUAUUUAAUUUAUAUUUUAAGUAAAAAUUCUUAAAUAAAUAAGUGUGACGAGAAGACCCUAUAGAGUUUAAUUUUUUUUURURUUUAAAAAUUUUAGAUGAAAAUAUUUAUAUAAUAUAAAAGUAAAUUUUGUUGGGGUGAUAUUAAAAACUAAUUAACUUUUAAUUUAAACUUCAUUAAUUUAUGAUUAAAUGAUCCAAUUUUAUUGAUCAAAAGAUCAAAUUACCUUAGGGAUAACAGCGUUAUUAAUUUAGAGAGUUCWAAUCGAUAAAUUAGUUUGC